GGCAGAUGAGGACACACGGUGAUGUAUUUAUGAGGCUGCCUUCCCGCCGGGUAGCACUUGGGAGCAGGAUUUACUGCAUUUUUUUAAAAACAUACUUUGUAAAGAUAUGCACAAAAGAGGACAACCUGCUUCAGGAGGUGACUGAAUGGUGGGCGUGUUCGAACCAAGGAUCAAGUGAGACCUACAGAAAUCUCUGCAUUGGUUCUCAGCUCCCCUUCCUGCUCCUGCACGAGCACAGGCUGCUUCCUGUGCCUGGAAUGACCUCCCUGUAACCCUGCUUUGCCUGGAAAAGCCUGGUCAUCCUUCAGCACAAAGUUCUACUGUUAGGUCCCCCGGAAGAGCAGCAGCAGGGGCGUCUGCACACUCCGUUACCCUCCAAGGCUGUUCAGUGAUUUCCAGUCAAAGGGCGCUGGAGACACCCUGGCGAUCAAUCAACUGAGGGCUCGUUCAGUUAAGGAAGACUAUACCCAAUGGGGUGCCUGCCUCAAUGUUCAGAAGAAAUUAUGAUAAGAACUGGACUUCAGUGGGGUAAGGAUCUAAGAAGGUUUGCUGCAGGAUGGUUAUCAUCAGAAAGUCAGGUUUCUGCAAUUGAGGAUUUCACGGGUGGCAUGGUGACCUUAUUUUUUUC
rnacentral:lncRNA from 1 species